AGAAGUAAAAUUUAUUACUGCAUAGCAAAUGUGUGCGUAUGCAUUAAUACUGUUCAAGGCCAGUAUCUUGUGGCGGCAAAAUUAAUAUUAAGGUGCAGUUUCUAGUUUGGCUAAUGGCUGUUCAACAAAGCAGGGCUUGUGCUUUGCUCACCUUAUCGCUCUUAAUCCCUUGAAACAGACCUCCAUGAAAGAAUUUGCCAAGUAAACACUAAAAAAAGGGUACAUGCACAACACAAAAAUAUGUAUUUUUUAUAUAUAUUUUGUUUAUGCAAUUAGAGCCUUCAAAAUUUUGUCCCUGUGAAUUGGUUCAGCUGGGUUUCAGCACCUUUGCAUAGCACAUAGUUCCAAGGUUCAAAAGCAAAUAUCUCUGAAUGCAGUGGAUUAAAAAUGUGCCUCUUGAUUGUGACUCUGCUCUGAAGAGGCUGAACUGGAUGUUGGUGUUACCCCGUGAGUUACACCCUGCAUUGUUUUGGAGUCAGUGAACAAUAACUGUUCAGUAAACAAUAAAUUAAUUGACAUUAUCUACAUUUAGACUUUCAUUUUCUUACUAUGCAAAAAAAAAUCACUUUCUGUGAGAAGGAUGGAUUAGUUUUUGUAGCCUUUUUGCCAACUUAAAGAGAGUUGCUGAUCUGGUAUUCCAGGUUGAAGGCCUAAUAACAUGAUGACAUAAGACAACUGAUGAUGAGGACUUGCUCAGGUGCUGGUUGAAGAGAAGAGGUUAGAGGAAUAUUUUUAGGGUGCUGAGACAGGAAUUGAGAUGGUAUCUGUCAGCACUUGUUUUCUUCUUCAAAGCUUUGUCUGACAGCCAGAAGAAAGCUCAAUGCUUGUGAUCCUGAUGUUUGGAAUCUGGUAGUGCAAUACCAUAUCCAUAUGGUAGUGUUAGGGGUAAAACCCAAUCCCUUGGGGCUCAAAAGGAAAGUAUGAAGUGUUGAGCAGCUGAGAUGUACCUGAGAUGCGCCUGCCUAGAGCUGAGCUCUAGGGCAAGCAAAUGUCUGGUUAGCUCCAGGUCACACUGGUGAGCCCACUGGUCCCACAAAGUGGACUCCAACCACAGCAGAUCCUGGGCUCAUGCCCAACAGUCACUUGGCAAAGUGGUCAGUGACAGCAGCCUCAAAGAUCUGAUGGAAGAGAAAAAUGUCCAUUUGUGGAUGGGAGCAUCUGCACUGUCUUAGCCUUUAGAAGCAAGAGCCUUUUGGGGGAGGCUAUGACACUUUUUUCUCUCUGCUGGAAGAGGUGAGCUGACAAAAUUAAGGCAUCCCUGGGCUGGAAAAAGCAGUGCAGUGGGAAAGAUAAUCUCAUGUGAAAGCUCUCAAGGCAGUGCCGUAUGUCUUCCAUGUUUUGGGACUAGUCACUUGAUCUCUGCAGGCUUUAGUUUUGUGCCAGUUAUUCACUGCGUCUCUCUUCAGGUGUUUUCUUGGAACAGAGCUUGUCCCUCGCUGUGGGGUCAUGAGAUGCCCAGGAAAUGAGGGGUCAGACACAGGCUCAGAAAUCUUACAAGCAUCAUCUUGUUGCUCAUGAUGGCAUUACCAGUAUCAUAAAUAGUUAAAGGCAGAUCAGUCAUCGCAUUUGUAACUGGUGGUAAUCAGUGGUACAACACCAGGGAGAUGUUUGGCUCAGCUUGUCAAAAGUGUUUCGAUAUUGUGAGAAUUAUGAAUGUCACUGGGAAAGCUUUUUGGGGAAGAUAACAGGAGAGAGAAAAGCAGGGGAAGCAUGAUGCCCUGCUUAGAGCAUGGGGAGCGUGGGGAAAGUGGGAUUAGUGCUGCAGAAGAUGGGCAGACAGGGAGCAUCUGCUCUGGACCACCAGGAUCAGAGCACAGCAGGACUGAGAAAUUCUUGGACUAGUUAUCAAGGAAUUGGGAAACUCCAGGAUACUGUACUCAUGGGGGAUUUUUACUACCCAGACAUCUGCUGGGUAACAAAUGCAGCUAAUCACAGUGAUAAUGUACAACCCUAAUUCACUAUAAAUUCUCUCCCAUAUGUUUAGAAUUGUACUUACAGUAGGAAAGGACGGAUAGUUAUUCAUGAAUCAAGGUGAACUGAGUUGCUGGUGCAGAGUCAGCCAGAUAUUGUGAAAAAUAAUGUGUGUCAGACUUUAACAGAAUCCUUCUGAAAGCAUGGCUGUAUUUCAGGUAUUUUAAGACAGAAAACCAAGUUCUUGUAAUUACUGAUUGCUUUUAAAUGUGCCAAUUGAACUACUCCUUUCUUCAUAACCUUUUUUGACCUUGAAGCACGAGUUCACAAGUGGAGUUGAUGAAGAAUUAUCCUCCAGAUGAAAUACAAAUUCAAUUCUGCUCAUAAGGAGGUGGAAAAGGGUUAAGAAAAAAGUAAGAAAGGAACCAUGAUAAUGGUUGCUUAGCUCAGUGGUAGCACAUGAAAGAAUGGUGUUUUAUUGAUAUACUUCUAUGGCCUUUCUUCUGUUGCAGGCAAUAAUUUUGCCCUCUAACUCACCGUGGACCCAGAAGAGCACUGUGAGCUCAAAUAUAUCUAAUAUUGAGGGGGGAAGGAGGUGGCUUGGCCACCGGAGUUCAGGGCUGAGCACAGUUAGUUACUGAUGAAUUAUAGUGCCUUUUCCUCCUGUUAGCAAUCCCUGCCCCCUGGCUGUGCUUGCCCCCGCGCUGCCUCAUCGGCGGGUUUAUUUUGGUAAGGAAACCGUAUGCUGAGCUCUGGCUUUGGCCACGCAGGGCUUGGGGAUUUGCAUAAUGGCAUUACUGCUUAUUCCUCAAUUACAGUCUUUGAAUAUGCAAAUCUGUUGAUGCUGGUUACUGUAAUCCCCCUGCCCUGGCUGGUCCCCAGCUGGGGAAGUCUUUGAGCCAUUUACUGGCAAUGAGGGCUUUCCUCCUUGGUUUCUUAUUUCCAGCUGUGGGUAAAGGGGAAAACUCCUCAACCAGCUACCUGAAAUAGAGGGAGAGCAAAAUUCAGAAAAGGGAAAUAUCUUUUCUAAAAAUGAGCUUGAAUGCCUUAUCCCCUGUCAUUUUCCCUGCAGGAGCUUAUGUUCAUGCUGCUGGUGAGAGAUGGGAUGGGUCAGCUUGCUCCAUCCCACAGACUGCAGCAGGGUUUGUCUUUGCAGCAACUGUCCCCCACUCCUGUCUGCCCUAGCUGCUUCCCACUUGAAAUUUGGUUUCAAAGCAAAAGAACUGAGAUGACAACCAGCAGUUUUGAAGGUUUUCUGUCUGCUUGCUUCUCUUUGUGGUCUGCUGGCUCCAGUGGAGCUGGGUCAGUGUAAAGCCGAAGAGGAAUUCAGCAGAGGACUUGCUUGGGUGGAGAGAUGGGGAAACCUCAGCUCACAGCACCUGAGCACCUCUCCCAAAAGAAGGUUUGAUGAGUUGCAAUGAUUAACCAUCUGCUGAUCUGUACAUCCAUGUCCAGAGCUGGAGCUCUUCUUACUAAAAUAUUACUUGAGUAACCUUCCCCAUUUCUACUUCCAAUUUUUUUUUCUAGUGGUAUUUUCAACAAUUCUUGUUUUUUUUCCCUGUAUCUUUUUAAAUAAGGGGGAGAGUUUUUUUUCAAAAUUUUAUUUUCAAAUAAGAGAAAGCGCAGCUGCUUUAUUUUCAGGAAGAAGUAGGUUAAACAGGAAAAUCAAUGCCUUUUCAGUGGCAAGGGUGAAAUCCCGGAGCCAUUAAGGUCCUACUUCCCAGGACUUGUGAAGAGACGGUAUUUUACCCAAAACACCCUGCAGUUCAUCCUCAGUCAGCAGAGACUGUCCUCAGAUCCAGCCACCAGGAAUUGUACUUUCCUUACAGCUUCAGUGCUCUCUGCUAUCACCACGUGACCUUUUAGCAUUCACAACAGCUCAUAUUCUUUCCUCAGCCAUGGACCUGCCAACUCCAUCUCCACAGGCAGCAUUUGUUGAGAAAACCAGUUAUUUUGUGUCUGAGUUGAUCAUGAUGCUGUGAGAACGUCACUGUCACAUAAGUCAAAAUGUCCUGGGAGCGGGGUAUCUAGACAGAUUUGAGAGAAACACUUUUGCCUAUGCAUGGAAACGUGUCCCAUGCCAUUAUGUGUUAAGGGAUAUGAUUUAUUUCAGAAAAAAAAGAAAAGAGAAAAAGAAAACCCAGGCAAAUGUAGAACCAAUGAUUUACAGGAAACAAGACUGUCUGGAACAUAAAUACAGACAAGCAGCAUAUUUGUUGCUGAUGGUGCUAUGUUCCCUGGGAGAAUAAAGCCAUUUUGUAACUAUUUGUCUGUGUCUUGAGCUUGCACACAUUUUGUCUCAGAGUUUUUAAUUUCUAAUGAGGUUUCCUGUGCUGAAUAUUUUUCUCAAAUCAACAAAAAUGGUUUGACAUCCAUUUGUAAAAGGCUUCAUUGUAAUGUAUUGUUACAUCCUGUACCCAAAUCAGUUUCUUCUGUUCCCUGGAUUUCUCCAGUAUUUCUUUAUCAACCAGAUGUGGGGGAAGACACCUGCAAAUAAAGAUGUAUGUUGUAUUAGGGCCUGCUGCUGAAAAUGCCCUAAGUGCUCCUGAACUCUGACUUGCUCGUUGUGCUCCUUUCCUGGAAGAUUAGUACAAUCUGAAACACUUGGAAAGAAAUUGUUCUUCACAUGUUUUUGGCCCUUUAAGUGACUAAUACUUUUGGAGGUAUUCGUCUUGUUUUCACUGCAGGUAUUUCUGCUGUACCAUAAAAGUAAUGAAAAAAUAGCCAGAGAAAGGAAUUUUAAUCUUAUUCUAUGAUAAACUAGUAUAUGAGAAUUAUUUUUCACUAUGUACAAAUGAACUGUAUCUUUUUUAGGUAAAUUGGAAUCAUGGAAGGGAAAGAACCUCCUGGGAACUGAAGAGCUAUGUUUAGGGCAAGUAAAGGACAGCAUUGCAUUUAUUAUUUUGUCAUCAUGUAUCUCUACUCUGGAAGAAUUUCUCUACAAACCUUUAGGAAUAAGAGGGUAAUCUAGUGCCUGGACUUAUUCAGUAUUUAGCUUGUAUGAUGAAAUCAAUGGGAAGAGAUGUGUUUAUUAUGCUGAUGUUUGCAGGAAGCUGAGAUGAUACUGCUAAAACUCUUCAAGCACGUAAAGUGCCACAGCUAAAGAACUAUUUAUAUUUCAGAAAAGGUGCAGAUAAAAUAUAACCAUUCAGAAACACUGCAAAGAAGGAACAUACAACAAUUUUUGUGUUGUGGUGCAAUAUUGUGUUGUAGAGCAAGAACCAGUCCAGCAAAGAACAGGACUUGAGAGGUCACUCCAUGGCCAAAGUGUCCCACCUCUCUUCUUGUCCUGACCCAGCUUUCUUGUAGUAAAAACCAGUAGUCACUGUGAUACUUAAAAUGCAAGGAUUUCCCUACACAUUGUCAGCAUAUGAAGCUGUCCAACCUUUCUGCCUGAAUGUUGUUUUAUUCAAGUUUCCCCCAGUAACUAUGGGUUAUCUUUCCUACUCUUAUCAGUUUGCCAUAUGUUGUAACUGGUGGAACAGAAUAAAAUUCUUCAAGCAUAAGUUCUGCUGCAGUGAUCUGAUUUACUUAAAUGUGUGAUCAAACAAAAAUGCAGCUUCUGAAGAACACUUUAGAACAAGAGCAGAAUCUGGCAACUUGUGAGAUGCCCUCAAUGACUAUAGUCUUACCAGAGACUUUGAUCACAGCUUCCUUCACCUCUUUUCAUGCUGCUUACGAAGUUACUCUAUGUAAAAAUGUAGUGUGUGAUUUACUUCAACCAAAUUCAUUCUGAAGGCAGGAAAUGGUCAAUCUCUGAGCUUUAGUCAUGUGUAGACCUUGAAUGAUUGUGGAGCAGUUCAUGUGGAGAGGAUGUCCCGGGUGCCUGACAGUAGGGCCACACCACCGACUAUAAUGAAGGUGACCUUCUGCAUUCAGGUUUCAUUAUUUCAGAAUUGGAGAUGAAUUUUCCCCAAAAUUGUAUGGUAUAGGGAGUACCUCGGCGCUAACCUUCCCACCAGCCCUGUCUGCACACCUACAUUUUGAGUCAUUUGGAAGUCUCAUGGGCCAGGAGCCAUACCCUGAAGCAGGAAAAUCUUCUCCAGGGGAGCUGUGGUGGUUACUGAAGCAAUUCAGCCUUCAUUUGGUCCAUAAGAGACUGUUCCCACCGCUGCUGAAAUGCAGAUACUGCUCAGUUGCUGCUCUGCGACUGCUGUGUUACAUUGCAGUAUUUCAAGAGGAAAAGUGGAGAAUGACUUUUCUGUUUGAAGCCAUAUGAGGGGAUUCAGCCAGACAGCAUGUAAUUACCCUAGCUGGAGCCAGGCCAAGGCAGAGGAUCUGUGGCUCUCCGUCUGCAGGCUUAUUUUCAGCUCUUCAGAUGAGAGAUUGGGAUGGAAUAUGUCGAAAUUAAUGAAACAAAGUUAGUUUCUCUCUGGACAUCUCCUCCAUCAUGCCCACAUUAGACACAAAUAACUCACUAAUAUGGUCUGCCCUGGACUGCCCUUCAAAGGCUCAGCUUACAAGUCCAAAUGAAAGAGCAUCUGGAAACAAGGAGCCUUUCCUAUUCAUUCAGGUGAGUUGUGAAGUGGGUAAUGAAAAUGCUAUUGUUUUCCAGUGUGACCAAAACAGGUCAUUUGGGAAAAUAGAUUCUGCCCAUGACUCUUCCUCUUACAAUAGAAUCUGUGGCCCUAAUCCAGUAAAGCACUUUAGUAUGUGCUUAACUGGAAAUUUGUGAGCGGCCCUGCGAGGGAUCAGCUCUCGUGCUGACGUUAAAUGUGAGGAGUGGGAGUUGGCAGGUGGGCAGUGUGAUUGCCCAGGGGCCCUACCUUAUUAUCUGUGAUUAUACGGGCUUAGCGCUUGGCUGGACCCGGGCCCGUUUGAACAAAGGAGUGGGAUUAGCAGGCGUGCAAACAGGGAGCAAAGCCAGGGGGUUCCAGCAGUGCUGAACACAACUUUGUUACUCUGACAGAAUGUAUAAAAGUGAAUGAAAGGGCUAUAUGAUUGCUGUUGCCAUUCUGUUAAUUAGGCUGAACUCAUGCUUCAUUAGUGCUACAAUAUGCUUCCUUCUCAACAAAGCCCUAUUGGGUGUAUGGAGCCACUUUACUAUUAGUAAAAUGAAGCCUUAUCAGAAAGCCCUGUAAUUCAUUUUGUAAGACAAGUCGUGACAUAUAUUGUGUUGAAAUUGCACUGAAGAGAUAGAUUACUUGCUUAACACUUGCUUUCCCUAAUGAACAGGAAAAGAUGUUUCCAAAACUAAGUUAUUUAUUGUAAUGGGAGCUCUUCUGACCUCAUACCUAAUUACAUCACAUAGUCCCUUAGCAGUGUUUCAAGUAGUUCCUAAAUAAUACAAAUUGAACUAAUCUGCUUUUGCUCUUGCACAUUCUCCCAGUGACACUGUGAAAAUACCAUCAGGCAUUUAGAUCCUUGUUUCUUGCUGUCAUUGUGGUGAAGAUUUUUGCGUGUAACCAGUACAGUAUCCCUGCAGCAGGAAUGCAGCAAAAGCACUAGCACAACCCACAUUCCCUGCUUGCAGCAGUGUAAAGCAGUACUGAUUAAGCAACACAGUGAAAACUGCUGUACCUUGGGCAGAACAUGGUGUUUGUAGUAGUGUUAUGACAGAUGCUGACCUGGUGGUGAUUUUUCUAUGGAUUCACUGUGCUGGGAAGGGAGUUUGGAUUAAACCAGGGCACAGAUCCAUAUUGGUCUCAGCUGGAGAGCUGACUGAAGUCAGUCCUGCCUACCAGACAUCUCCAAUUUCUUAGUGAUGUUGGUGCUUUUCUGUGGCUCCCUUCAGCACAUAUGUUACAACUAACACACCAAAAAAAAAAAUUCCCGAAGAGUUUUUGCUGACCUUAGUUUGACUCAUCCAUCCAGUGUGGCAUAUGGAAGCUUUCCACAGGUUGGUCAGCACCAGAGGAGUGUUCGGUCAUGGGUGGAGAGGGAAAGAGCAAAUGGGUGAGAAAGUGGGUGUAGGGAGGAGUGACUUAAGUGGAUCUACCACCGAGGGCACAAAACUUAGUUGUGUUCACAAAGGUAUGAAUUUGAGACAGAAUAAUUUCACAACCUGGGUAACUAAUUGCUAGUGACUGUUGGGGAUGCAGGGGCAGACUGUGUUACGUGCUCAAGUGAUUGUUUCUCACAAUGACUCUCUUCCACAGGCUGAAGUCAAAUGGCAAAUGUUGGCUGCAUUUCAGUACAGAGGACAAAUAUGGUCCCCCAGGAAGGUCCUUGUUUGAUGGAUCCCUUCUGGGACUCCCAGUGGCAGCACCGCUCUCUGCCAUGGCUAAAAGCUUCUGUGUCUGGGACAGCAGGUCGUGCGUGGUAGAGUGAGAUUCAACUCCACCCUAGCUUCCAGAUCUUCCUGCCUAAAUUAUCUGAAUUUGCUAUUACUGGUAAGCUCAGGGAAGGGUGAUGUGCAGCAACAUCUUUUUAUUUUCGUAUUUCCUCCUUGUACCAUUCUUUAGCUUUACUGUAAACUUCCAUGCUUACUCAUGUCUUCCUACAGUAAACAUAAAAAUAGUCCCCUCUCUCCAUUUCCAAUGCUAUACCCUGCAGACCUGGAAUGACCCCAUAUGAGAGAGUCAUAACAGCACAGUCUAAUGGAGAAGAAAAAUGGUAAUGAGGUAAUGUACCAAAAACAAUUGUCUGAAAGAGCAUCUCUGAAAUGCUUGACAAUUCUGUUUGCUUUUGCAGCUCAGGCUACUUGUAUUGUCAUCCAACUCCAGGGCUAAGGGCAUUUCUUGGUGUAACCCCAUGAAACCCAUGGAUUUUAUCCCAGGGUGGCUGCAGUCACAGGCAUGGAAAAUUCUGUACUAUGAUAAAUUUGGAAAGACCCUGUAAGAUUUUGUUCCAAGAUGGAAUAAUGCCUUUCUUAAUGCCUUAGAGCCACCAUCACCAUGAGCCAAAGUUGUUGGUUUUCAUCAGUUUAGUUUGAACCUGGAUCAGAUCCCUUGCUCUGCUUUGCCAUGGAGCUGUAGAGAUGCUGGACUGAAAAGCAGUGAUGAGACAGGAUGAAGCAGAGCAGGACAGGGAUGGCUGUUCUGGUGGCAGAAACAGCUUACAUGGAUUUAAAGUGAUCACAGGGCUGUCAUUCAAGGUAGGUGAUUGCUCAUGUUCUCGUCUGCUUGUGGUCAAAGACAAACAACUAUGUGGUUGCUUCACCAAGUGGUUUCCUAAGCUCAUUUUUGUGUAAGUUACAUAUAUAACCAAAAGUGAACAAAGAAAACUGAUGUGUCAAAUAACAAGAAAUUGUGGGGUUAAGCAUAUAUAGGCCAUAAGAACAUCUGACUUUCCUUUCUUCUCACUGCAUUUUUAAAUGUGAAUAUGAAAUAAAUGGCCCACUGUCAGUGGUCUCCCACAGAAUGACUUCAUCAACAGUACAAGAUGCAAUCCACUUGCAAAUGUCUAAUCAGGUGAUUCUGUGGGGGUUUUUUAAACAGCCUUUCUGAAGUGAGAUUAACAUUUUAAAAAGUGGUUGAUCAAAAUUUAACGUUGUGGAGCACAGACUCCCCUUCCACUUCCCUGUGCUUGUGAACUGAGUUUGCAGGGAUGGUGGGUGUCAUGCAGUACUGGAUAUAUUUUGUUUCACCUGUCAUAUGCCUUAACUCAUCACAAUGUUUUGCAUCUGGGUCAGCUGUAUUUUUAUCAAGCAUUAACAUGCAUAAGGGUUUGCCAGUACUUAAUGAAAUGCUACUGAAAACUGCAUUCUUCCACCUCUUCAUUGAAGCAGAUUUUAUUGUGUUUGAACUGUGUUUGAACUGAAGGUACACUCAUGUGAAAAUUGUUAUAUUCAUAACCCACACCCAAGCAAUAACAAAGAGCUCAGCUAAUGAAAAUCACUCAAAGGAAAUCACUGCCCACCCGUUCUAAGAACAAUUAGAAAGAUUAUUCCAGCAUCCCUAAUGCUGCCACACUGCUGUUGUACUGUUAAGCAUCUCUUCCCUUUGGAAGACUAAGGUAAGGAAUCUGACAUAUUGUGUCAUAAACGGUGCUGGGAAAAAAGCAUUUAUGGUGCUAUUACCACCAUAAAUUCCUACAGCAGAGGACAACACUUGGACAGCGUAAAUAUAUAAGAUUUCCCUGUGAGUAUCCCAUUCAAAUGAACACAAGAGGAGAAGAUUUGGGGCCAGUCAAAACUGGAUUGGAGAAUUCAAACCAUCUUUUCAGAUAAGGGCUGGCAAAACACUUUCCCAGUGGGUCUCUCUCCAGAGGACAUCUCAGUGUGGCUUCCUAAUGCUCUGUAGGUCAAGGAUAAUUUGGAAGAUGUUUCUCCAGAGAGAGAAGAAAACAUCCUUUCUGGCAGUACACCAGGAAAUUCAGAUGCUGUAACACCACAACAGAUGGAGUCACUGCCAGAGAAGAAAUACUGUGUUGCUGUGUGGCAUAAGCAUGGCAGUGUGGGCAAAUCCUGUGCUGCUGGGACACCAUGAUGUUCCACUGGCUUUGGAGAUGUACAGCAAAUUAUACCAGUUGGGAGUCUGGCUUUGUUGUGGAUAUUUCAGCUUUUAAAUGUGUUUGUUCUUCCCUUUUUUCUCUCCUCUGGUGUGUCUGUUGACAGAAACAGGUUUCUCUUGGGAUUUAUUUCUCCCACUGCAUUAGAAAGGGGGCCUGAGCUUUAAUGAUGCAGAGCUGUGUGCUUGAGUUUCUUAGUAAGUGGCAAAGGUGUUAAAAACUGAGGCUCUAGUAUUUAUUGAUAAUGAGAAACCAUCAGAACUGAUCUGAAUAUCUGUCUGAUACUAGUUUUCUGCUAAAAAUAGCCAACUGUUUAACUAUAUGAAAAAUUAGUUUUACCAAAGCAUUGCUUCUCAUUGCAAAAAAUACACCAAUCCCUCAAACAGCAUUAGAGAUAUAAUUCAAUGACUUCUGCAAAUGAAAAAUGUUCAUAAUCAUUUUGGUAAAUAUUUCAUCUAAUAUAAAUACAAAUCCAUUUUAAACUGCAAACAUAUGCAAAGGCAGGUGAGGUUUAUUUCUAUCAGUUCACCACACAAAGAGCUGCUGCAUUUUUCAAGUGAAUCUUUCUUCUGCCCACAUCUGGGGGCUAAAAGGGAGGAGAGAGAAGAGGGUGAACUUUUUUCUCCAAUAGUCACGACUCAAUCAUUGAACAAUUACUUUUUUGCUCUCUACAGCAGGGUUUUAUUAUGCAGUGUGAUUCACAUGCUGCACUAUGUGGGGAAAAGUGUCCCAACCCAAAUAGCUAGGAACAGAAAAUAGAAGUACUAAUCUUAACUACCCCUGUGUUUAAACAAGAGGAUUUGUGGAGCACAGCAGGAAAAACUGAGGCACUGGUUCCCUUUGAGCUAAACCCCCAUUCUUUGCUCUCCAGCCAUACAUACAGGUUGUUCUUCUAACACAUUCUGAUGCAUUAGUUUGGCCAUGUUAAUUCCUUUGAAAUAUAUUUCAACCCACUGUACUUCCAAAAUCACAAAACGGUUGAUUUAUGUUUACAUGCUCAUGUGUUUUUGCAAAGAGAGGACGUUUCCCCUUUCGGCUUUGCAGCAUUCACUAAUCACAUACUUCAGAUUUCUUGUCUGAGUUGCUAAUAAAAGUUUAUGAACCUC